AUCAAAUUCUCUAACACGUAAGCGUGUCUCUUACAACUACCGCAACUUUGGUGUCUUUGGCCUCCGUCGUUGUUGAUGCAGUGUAUACAGACAGCGAAUCCUCUGCAAAAUCGAAGUGUAGGUUCAGGGAUAGGUCCAAGGAGUCUUGUCCAAACAAGCUGUUAAGCUUGCCAAACAAGCUGUAGAACACAAAAGUUUCAUCAACAAGGUGACUCAUCUUUUGGGAGUUCUUGUUUUGGAGGGUUUUACUUCCUUUUAGGGUCAAAUAUGAGUGCAAAAUUUAUUGGAAUGAGAGGUCGUGCUCGAAAUGAACAAGGUAAUUUUUUUACGAAAAAUUUUAUAGAGUAAAUAUCUUUUAUGCUACAAUUGAUUAUCGAUUGUAAGAAUUAAAUACUAGGUUUAAUGAUAAUACUAUUGAAUUACUUACUUUGAGCAUGGCUUUAGAUCCAAGAAAUGGUUAUAAGUCAUUUAAUAGUGAUGAUAUUUGCAAACUUGUUGAUAAAUUUCAUUCUAGAGAUUUCACAUAACAGGAAAAAUUGCAUUUGAAGAUGGAGUUACAGCAUUUUGAGAUUGACAUUCCUAAACAUCCAGAUUUGAAUAUUUUAUCAACUACAUCUGAAUUAUGUCAAGGGUUGACAAGAACUCGAAAGUCCAUCAUUUAUCCUCUUAUUGAUAGAGUGAUUAGACUUGUACUCACUCUCCCAGUUUCUACAGCAACUAUUUGUUGGACAGGUGGCUUCAAUACUCAAGAGGGGGGGUGAAUUGAGUUUUACAAAAUCUUUUCGCAAAGUACCUCCUUUGAUGUUUUACAGACUAUUUCUUCAAUAAAGUGAUUUAAUAAAGAAGUGUCUAAUAGUAAAAGCAAGUGUAGUGAUCAACAAAGUAAGCAAGUGAAUAUAUAAACACAAUCUAAGACGCAAUUUUAAUACUUAAAAAAAGGAUUAAGGUUAGAGAAAUUGCAAACUAGAUGUAUCCUGGUUCGGUCAUCACCACCGUGACCUACGUCCAGAC